rnacentral:rRNA from 1 species
CUGGUUGAUCCUGCCAGACCUGACUGCUAUCGGAACGGGACUAAGCCAUGCGAGUCUGCCAGUUUAAGCACGUGAACUAGCGGCGAACGGCUCAGUAACACGUAGUCAACCUGCCCUCCGGUUGAGAACAAUCUCGGGAAACUGAGCCUAAUUCUUGAUAGAUCAAGAUUCCUGGAAUGGGUUUUGGUCAAAACGAAGUAACAGCAUCUUGUUAUUUUCGUCAGAGGAUGGGACUGCGGCCGAUCAGGCUGUUGGUGAGGUAAAGGCUCACCAAACCAGUAACCGGUACGGGCUUUGAGAGAAGGAGCCCGGAGAUGGACACUGAGACAAGGGUCCAGGUCCUACGGGGCGCAGCAGGCGCGAAACCUUCGCAAUGCGCGCAAGCGCGACGAGGUUAUUCCGAGUGAUUUCCGCUGAGGAAAUCUUUUCUCAGAUCUAAAAUGUCUGGGGAAUAAGGGGAGGGCAAGUCUGGUGUCAGCCGCCGCGGUAAUACCAGCUCCUCGAGUGGUCAGGGCGUUUAUUGGGCCUAAAGCAUCCGUAGCCGGCUCAGUAGGUCUCCUGUUAAAUCCAACGGCUCAACUGUUGGUCUGCAGGAGAUACCACUGGGCUAGGAGGCGGGAGAGGCGGACGGUACUCCGAGGGUAGGGGUAAAAUCCUUUGAUCCCCGGAAGACCACCAGUGGCGAAGGCGGUCCGCCAGAACGCGCUCGACGGUGAGGGAUGAAAGCU